AUCAUGGUGGAUCUGUCCAAUCAGAAGCGUCGUCUCAUGCGGUUGCCGGAGGCGCUGUUGAGCCGCUCUCGGUCAGUCAGUACAGAGACUGGAGCCGCGGCGACCUGUCUCUCAACAUGACAACAAUCUCAUGAGCUGUUCUGUGAAUAAAACCGCUUGUUUGGGAGUAUUUAUACACUAACUGGACUAAAGGGACGGCGUAUCUAACUGAAGAGGAGGAGUCAAGAGAGACAGAUUUUUAGCAUUCAGGGGAAAAGAGGAGGCAGGCGGGUCAGCACUGACGAGAGAGGAGAUCCUGCUACAGUCUGGAGGGCUUAUCCUGGGCUGCCAGCAAACUCGGGUGUGGCUCUCUGUCUGGAGCUGCUACUGACCUCAGCCCUGCUGUCAUGGCCUCAGCCCUCACACCAUGCAGAAAGCACCCCUCCUAACCCUCAUACCUCACACAUCACCACACACACGCACAGCCAUGAUGACCACCUCCCACAUGAACGGAUAUGUGACCGAGUCGGACGGUGGGGGAGGGAGCGGCGGAGGCACUGACUUUCUGGAGGAGGUGGUGCAGAGACACAGGGAGAUGGCUGUGGACUGCCCCAGUGAA